rnacentral:rRNA from 1 species
AUGGCGGCGUCGGCGAAGACCUUCGUGCUGUACCCGUCGCUCGGCGUGGGCCACCUGAUCCCCAUGGUGGAGCUGGCCAAGCACCUGCUCCGCCGCGGCCACAGCGCCGUCCUCGCCGUGGUCGACCCGCCGGACGGCGAUCCUGCCUCGGCCGCCGCCGUGGCCCGCCUCGCUGCGGCCAACCCUUCCAUCGCCUUCCGCCUCCUCCCGGCCCCUCCCAGCCCGGACCCCGCCGCGCACCCGGUCAGGUGCGCCCAAGACACGCUCCGCCUCGCCAACCCCGCGCUCCGGGCCUUCCUGCACUCCCUGCCGGCCCCCGCCCACGUGCUCCUACUUGACAUGUCCUGUGUCGACGCGCUCGACGUCGCCGCUGACCUCGCCCUCCCCGCCUACUUCUUCCCCUCCGCCGCCAGCGACCUCGCCGUCUUCCUCAACCUGUCGUACCUCUACCCCGGCCUGCCCUCCUUCAGGGACACGGGCGACGCGCUCGUGCGCUGCCCCGGCAUGCCGCCGAUCCGCGCAGUGGACAUGCUGGUCACGGUGCAGGACAAGGAAAGCAACCUCACCAAGGUCCGGCUGUACUAG